rnacentral:rRNA from 1 species
GACAGAGGGUGCAAACGUUGUUCGGAAUUACUGGGCGUAAAGCGCGUGUAGGCGGCUAUGUAAGUCGGGCGUGAAAUCCCACGGCUCAACCGUGGAACGGCUGGGUAUACUGGCGGUCUUGGGCCAUUCAGGGGCGACUGGAACAAGCGGUGGAGCGGUGAAAUGCGUAGAUAUCGCUUGGAACGCCGAAGGUGAAAACAGGUCGCUGGGGAUGUGCCGACGCUGAGACACGAAAGCCAGGGGAGCAAACGGG